rnacentral:rRNA from 1 species
UUAAAUUGAAGAGUUUGAUCAUGGCUCAGAUUGAACGCUGGCGGCAGGCCUAACACAUGCAAGUCGAACGGUAACAGGAAACAGCUUGCUGUUUCGCUGACGAGUGGCGGACGGGUGAGUAAUGUCUGGGAAACUGCCUGAUGGAGGGGGAUAACUACUGGAAACGGUAGCUAAUACCGCAUAACGUCGCAAGACCAAAGAGGGGGACCCUCGGGCCUCUUGCCAUCGGAUGUGCCCAGAUGGGAUUAGCUUGUUGGUGGGGUAACGGCUCACCAAGGCGACGAUCCCUAGCUGG